UACGUAGGGACCAAGCGUUGCCCGGAUUUAUUGGGCGUAAAGAGCUCGUAGGCGGCCUUCCACGUCGGAUGUGAAAGCUCAGGGCUCAACCCUGAGAUGCCAUUCGAUACGGGAAGGCUAGAGGUAGGUAGGGGAAAGUGGAAUUCCUGGUGUAGCGGUGAAAUGCGCAGAUAUCAGGAGGAACACCGGUGGCGAAGGCGGCUUUCUGGGCCUUACCUGACGCUGAGGAGCGAAAGCUGGGGGAGCAAACAGG
rnacentral:rRNA from 1 species